rnacentral:rRNA from 1 species
AUACGAAGGGGGCAAGCGUUGUUCGGAUUUAUUGGGCGUAAAGAGCGCGUAGGCGGAUGAUUAAGCCAGAUGUGAAAUCUCGGGGCUCAACCCCGAAACUGCGUCUGGAACUGAUCAUCUAGAAUGGUGGAGAGGGAAGGAGAAUUUCGCAUGGAGGAGUAAAAUCCGUAGAGAUGCGAAGGAAUAUUAGAGGCGAAGGCGCCUUCCUGACCAACUAUUGACGCUGAGGCGCGAAAGCGUGGGGAGCAAACAGGAUUAGAUACCCUAGUAGUCC